rnacentral:rRNA from 1 species
CCGCUUGUUGGCGGGGUAAAAGCCCACCAAGGCGACGAUCUGUAGCUGGUCUGAGAGGACGACCAGCCACACUGGGACUGAGACACGGCCCAGACUCCUACGGGAGGCAGCAGUGGGGAAUUUUGGACAAUGGGCGCAAGCCUGAUCCAGCCAUGCCGCGUGUGGGAAGAAGGCCUUCGGGUUGUAAACCACUUUUGUCAGGGAAGAAACGGUCUGACCUAAUACGUUGGACUAAUGACGGUACCUGAAGAAUAAGCACCGGCUAACUACGUGCCAGCAGCCGCGGUAAUACGUAGGGUGCAAGCGUUAAUCGGAAUUACUGGGCGUAAAGCGUGCGCAGGCGGCCAUGCAAGACAGAUGUGAAAUCCCCGGGCUCAACCUGGGAACUGCAUUUGUGACUGCAUGGCUAGAGUACGGCAGAGGGGGAUGGAAUUCCGCGUGUAGCAGUGAAAUGCGUAGAUAUGCGGAGGAACACCGAUGGCG